AAUUUGAAGAACCGGUUGCGCACAAAGAGACCCUGCUUCACCCCUAACAUUUAUUCUCAUACUAGUGACUAACUUACAUUCAAUAUAAAAGGUAGACACUAUGGUCUUUGUAUCACAUUGAGAGACAACACCUUCAGUUGUUCCCAACCUGUUUGCUUUCUAAAGCCUUUCAGUUGCAGUAGAAUAAACUGCCAUCCUUCAAAACGCACGGAUAAACAAAGCCAUUUCUUACACUGAGGUGACCGAUGUGGAAGGAAUGAUCAUCCUUUGAACACUUUAAAAGCUGGGUGUCUUUCAAAUCAUUUUUCAUGUAGGUCAUUCAUCGUAUAAAAAGGCAGUGACAAACUCAGAGCUUGAGUUAGCGUUGUACAUCGGAAGGUGAACUAAUUAAAGCGCGAGCAGAGAGACAGCAGUAUUCACAUCACAGCUAAAGGCAGCCACACAAAUCAAAUCCAGAUAAGUUUUAUGCAACAGAGAUUCAAAAUGCUUCUGCUAGUUCUGAUACAGCUCCUGCUCAUUGCAUCAGCAAAUGCUCAGACCACCACAGUCGCAGCUACGACCACGACAGUCGCAGCUACGACCACGACACUCGCAGCUACGACCACGACAGUCGCAGCUACGACCACCACAGCCGCAGCUACGACCACGACAGUCGCAGCUACGACCACCACAGCCGCAGCUACGACCACGACAGCCGCAGCUACGACCACGACAGCCGCAGCUACGACCACCACAGCCCCAGCUACGACCACGACAGCCCCAGCUACGACCACCAGAGCCGCAGCCACGACUACCGCAGCCACAACUACAGUAGCAGCAAUGACGACAAACAAUGUCACUAACUCUGCCGCUGCACAUGCUGGGAUUACGUACAUGAGCGUGGUUGUGUGUCACUUCAGUGUCUUUUUCUACAAGUUCCAAUUUGCAGUGUAACUUGGUUGUGUUGCCUUUAUCUAUUUUUACAGAAUACAGUCAGUUAUUUUAAUAUACAGUAUAUAACCUCAUAAACGUGCUGAGAAGCACUCGUGUUGUUAGGCUUAGAAAAUCUAGAUUA